rnacentral:rRNA from 1 species
AUCCUACGGGGGGCAGCAGUAGGGAAUCUUCCACAAUGGGCGAAAGCCUGAUGGAGCAACGCCGCGUGGGUGAAGAAGGUCUUCGGAUCGUAAAACCCUGUUGUUAGAGAAGAAAGUGCGUGAGAGUAACUGUUCACGUUUCGACGGUAUCUAACCAGAAAGCCACGGCUAACUACGUGCCAGCAGCCGCGGUAAUACGUAGGUGACAAGCGUUAUCCGGAUUUAUUGGGCGUAACGGGAACGCAGGCGGUCUUUUAAGUCUGAUGUGAAAGCCUUCGGCUUAACCGGAGGAGUGCAUUUGAAAC